AUGUCGCAAAUCCAGAGCUUGUCACGGAGCUGCGUGCUACUCGCGGUGCUCUGCGGCAAGCACGCCGAUAAGCAGCAGCAGCGUGCGCCGCCGGGGAGGUCCGGGCCGGAGGCGAAGCGGCUGCGGCCGUCCUAUCCGUUUCCUGAGCUCAGCUCGGCUGGGAGGUUGGAGGUGCACACGCUGGUCAAUCCAACGCCGGAGCAGUUCCUCGAGGCGCAGCGGCUGGUGCAACCCAACUUCUUCUACAUCCAGGGCCAGCAGCUGGAAGAUGAGGAGAUUGGUUCGCUCGUCUGGGGGGACGCCGACAUGUCUGACCCGCAGUCGUUUGUCUGUCUCAUCAGCCCGCCGUUCCCAACAAUUGUUUAUCUGGAGGUUCCUAUUGGUGAAAAACUUGCCCAAGCAGUUCACUCAAAGGGUAUUCCAUAUGUAAUAUACUGGAGAAAUUCAUUUUCAUCUUAUGCAGCAUCCCAUUUUCGCAAUGCAUUGUUGUCGGUAGUUCAAAGUUCGGUGAGCCAUACAUGGGAUUCCUUUCAGCUUGCUCAUGCAUCCUUUCGACUAUACUGUGUAAGAAACAACCAUGUUCAAAGUGUUAAACUCGGCCCUCGUCUACUUGGGGAUGCUCCAAAGGUAAAUGUAGUCACCCCCGAGAAUGAAAUGGCUGAGGAAGAGGGUUCUUCUUCUGAAGUUUCCCCAGCUAUAAAAAUAUAUGAUGAUGACAUCAACAUGAAAUUUCUUCUCUGCGGAGUACCAAGCACGCUGGUAAGCUUCGAUAUAUUAGACGACUCUUGUUUGCUGGGCUCAUUAGAAGAUGGUCUGAAUGCUCUUCUAAAUAUCGAAAUUCGUGGGAGUAAACUUCAGAACCGAAUCAGUGCUUCUCCACCGCCUCUUGAAGCAGCGUCUGUACCACGUGGAAUGGUUACCAUGCGUUGUGAUAUGACUACUUGCAGUUCUUCUCAUGUGUCACUUCUUGUUUCUGGGAGUGCACAAACUUGUUUUGAUGACCAGCUUCUAGAAAGCCAUAUAAAAAAUGAACUCAUCGAGAAGAGCCAGCUAGUCCGUGCUCUACCGAACAGCGAGGAUAAGCUCUCAUCGACCGAGCCUUUCACUUCUCUGUCCACAGCUUGUGGUGCUUCUACCUUUGAAGUCUGGAUGACCCUUCCUAAGUGGGCAGCACAGGUUUUGAAGCAUCUAGCACCAGAAAUUUCAUAUAGGAGCCUAGUUGCACUUGGAGUUGGUUGCGUAAAUGCUACUCCUGUUGCUUCAUUCGAGAGACAAGAUGCAGACCGCCUUCUUUUCUUCUGCACCGGUCAACGGAAAGAUUCAGCCGGUGAAAGUGGCCCAUAUUUUCAUCUGCCAAGAUGGUCAGCCUCCCUUACCAAGGACAGAGCAAAGACGGGUUCAGAAUCAAAAUCAAAUUUGUUAGGUGUGAAUGGAACUUCAGAGGACAGGAAAGCUCCAGUUGAAGGGCCUUCCUCACUGACAUCCUUCAAGGGAAAAUUGAAGCCUGCAACUAUGAGGCCUAUUCCUCACUCUCGACAGCAGCAAAUGCACCCUUUUAUGGGUUUCCCUGAAGCUAACGUUCACGAAACUAGUCAGGCCAAGCCAAACUUGCCAGUUGCUCCACCUGUGAAGCACCAUAAUUCAGCACCUGCUUCUACAGCAGCGCAUAGGAAAUCAACUUCAGGGCCAUCUCAUGCUCAAUCGAUCAUUCAGCUGAAUCCUCUUCCCAUGAAGAAACAUGGGUGUGAUCGGUUGCCUAUCCAAGUGUGCUCCGAGGAGGACUUUCUGAAGGAUGUCAUGCAAUUUUUAAUUCAGAGGGGCCACCAUCGACUCGUUCCUCAUGGAGGUCUAGCUGAAUUUCCUGAUGCAGUCCUUAAUGCAAAGCGCCUUGAUCUCUAUAACUUGUACAAAGAGGUGGUGUCCAGGGGUGGCUUUUAUGUGGGCAAUGGUAUAAACUGGAAGGGUCAAGUCUUUUCGAAGAUGCGAAACCACACUGUAACAAAUAGAAUGACUGGUGUUGGGAACACACUGAAAAGACACUACGAGACUUACUUGCUGGAAUAUGAGCUAUCACAUGAUGACGUGGAUGGGGAAUGCUGUUUGCUUUGUCACAGUAGCGCUCCUGGAGAUUGGGUGAACUGCGGUUUAUGCGGCGAAUGGGCUCAUUUCGGCUGUGAUAGACGGCAAGGGCUGGGCACUUUCAAGGAUUACGCGAAAACAGAUGGGUUGGAAUACAUCUGCCCGCAUUGUAGUAUAGCGAAUUACAAGAAGAAGCCUCCUCCGCCCCAGAAAGUAGCCAAUGGGUUUGCGAAUACCGUGCUGCCUGUAUCACGGAAUGUUUAA
rnacentral:rRNA from 1 species